GGCGGCUCACGGUGAAAGUGCACGUGCUGCGAAGACACAGCGCGUUCCCAGACCAACAAUUUGCCGUCGGCGGUGAGAGGCGAGAUACAGCACGUCAUUCUUUCAGAAAUGAAAUGUGAAUUACCGGGAAUAACUAAGGCGGCGUCUGUAUAAAGGAGGAUCACUCAAGAAGCUUUGAAAAGAGAAACAUUUCAGGCCAGCCUUACUAUGGCAUAAAACUGGAAACUACUGGAAAGCCUCAUCAGGUCCAUCUCUGUCCAUGGAAAGAAAAAAUGGGUUAAGAUUUCACAUUAAAGAUUCUUCAUUAGCUGCCUGAGCAGCUGAAAGCUUAGAGCAUUUUGUACUUUUAUUUCAGAUUUGCUAAUUCAGCAGUUUUGAUUUUAAAAUAUUAUUGUAUUUACUGUCUUUUCAAGGAAUUCAGUUAUACUAUGACAGGAUUUAUGUCUAUCUCUUUUUCCUUGUUCACAUUGAUUGGUUUUUGUUUUACUUCAUGUUUUUUAAAGGGUGUUGAUUAAAGCUCAAUUGCACUGCUAUAUUUCUUUCCAAACAACUCUUACCUUAAAAGUAAUAUGUUUUCUCUCUUCCCAGUUCUGACAAAGGAUUUUCUACCUGAAGCAUCAGUACUGUUCUUCUUUUCCCAAAUGCUACCUGAUCUACUGGCCAUUUUGCUUUUAUUUCAGAUUUCCUGGAUGUGCAGUUGUUUUUAAUUUUCCCUUAACUAAAUAUGGAUCUUGGG